GACGAACGCUGGCGGCGUGCUUAACACAUGCAAGUCGAACGAAGUGGCGAACGGGUGAGUAACGCGUAAUCAACCUGCCCUUCAGCGGGGGACAACAGUUGGAAACGACUGCUCAUACCGCAUACUGAAGGAGGGGAUUGCGUCUGAUUAGCUAGUUGGAGGGGUAACGGACCACCAAGGCGAUGAUCAGUCGCCGGUCUGAGAGGAGGAACGGCAACAUUGGGACUGGGGCACGGGCGAGACUGCGACGGGAGGCAGCAGUUGGGAAUCUUCCGCAAUGGAGGAAAGUCUGACGGAGCAACGCCGCGGGAGUGAUGACGGCCUUCGGGUUGUAAAGCUCUGUUAAUCGGGACGCGGUACCGGAAUAGAAAGCAACGGCUAACUACGUGCCAGCAGCCGCGGUAAUAC
rnacentral:rRNA from 1 species